UACAGAGGGGGCAAGCGUUAUUCGGAAUUAUUGGGCGUAAAGGGCGCGUAGGCGGUUUUUUAAGUCGGAUGUGCAAUCCCUGGGCUCAACCCAGGAACUGCAUCCGAGACUGGAAGGCUAGAGUACUGGAGAGGGAAGUGGAAUUCCACGUGUAGCGGUGAAAUGCGUAGAUAUGUGGAGGAACACCAGUGGCGAAGGCGGCUUCCUGGACUAAAACUGACACUGAGGCACGAAAGCGUGGGUAGCAAACAGG
rnacentral:rRNA from 1 species